UACGUAGGGUGCGAGCGUUGUCCGGAAUUAUUGGGCGUAAAGGGCUCGUAGGCGGUUUGUCGCGUCGGGAGUGAAAACCCAGGGCUUAACUCUGGGCUUGCUUUCGAUACGGGCAGACUAGAGGUAUGCAGGGGAGAACGGAAUUCCUGGUGUAGCGGUGAAAUGCGCAGAUAUCAGGAGGAACACCGGUGGCGAAGGCGGUUCUCCGGGCAUUACCUGACGCUGAGGAGCGAAAGUGUGGGGAGCGAACAGG
rnacentral:rRNA from 1 species